rnacentral:rRNA from 1 species
UUCGGAUUGAAGGCUGAAAUUCGCCUUCAUGAAGCCGGAAUUGCUAGUAAUGGCAGGUCAGCAUACUGCCGUGAAUACGUUCCCGGGCCUUGUACACACCGCCCGUCACACCAUGAGAGUUGGGAAUACCCGAAGCCUGUGAGCUAACGAAAGAGGCAGCAGUCGAAGGUAGAAUCAAUGAUUGGGGUGAAGUCGUAACAAGGUAGC